GGCUGGUUAGCUCAGUGGGUUGAGCGCAGUGCUGACAAUAACACCGAGGUUGCGGGUUCGAUUCCCGCUUGGUCCC
rnacentral:tRNA from 1 species